rnacentral:rRNA from 1 species
CCUACGGGUGGCAGCAGUGAGGAAUAUUGGUCAAUGGGCGGGAGCCUGAACCAGCCAAGUCGCGUGAGGGAUGACGGCCCUAUGGGUUGUAAACCUCUUUUGCCGGGGCGCAAAGUGCCGCACGUGUUCGGUUUUGAGCGUACCCGGCGAACCAGCAUCGGAUAACUCCGUGCCAGCAGCCGCGGUACUACGGAUGAUGCGAGCGUUAUCCGGAUUUAUUGGGUUUAAAGGGUGCGUAGGCGGACGCUUAAGUCAGCGGUAAAAUUGCGGGGCUCAACCUCGUCGAGCCGUUGAAACUGGGGGCCUGGAGUGGGCGAGAAGUACGCGGAAUGCGUGGUGUAGCGGUGAAAUGCAUAGAUAUCGCGCAGAACUCCGAUUGCGAAGGCAGCGUACCGGCGCCCAACUGACGCUGAAGCACGAAGGCGUGGGUAUCGAACAGGAUUAGAUACCCGAGUAGUC